CGGCGUGCUUAACACAGUGCAAGUCGAACGGGACGAUUGAAAGCUUGCUUUUGAAAGUCGAGUGGCAAACGGGUGAGUAACGCGUAGGCAACCUGCCUCUAGGAUGGGGACAACAGUCCGAAAGGACUGCUAAUACCGAAUGUUGUAUCUCCUCUGCAUGGAAGAGAUAUUAAAGAUGGCCUCUACUUGUAAGCUAUCGCUUUGCGAUGGGUCUGCGUCUGAUUAGCUAGUUGGUGGGGCAACGGCCUACCAAGGCGACGAUCAGUAGCCGGUCUGAGAGGAUGAACGGCCACAUUGGAACUGAGACACGGUCCAGACUCCUACGGGAGGCAGCAGUGGGGAAUCUUCCGCAAUGGGCGAAAGCCUGACGGAGCAACGCCGCGUGAGUGAAGAAGGUCUUCGGAUCGUAAAGCUCUGUUGUCGGGGACGAAUGUUGAGAUCUAGAAUAUAGAUUUCAAAUGACGGUACCUGACGAGGAAGCCACGGCUAACUACGUG
rnacentral:rRNA from 1 species